rnacentral:misc_RNA from 1 species
AAGUCGUAACAAGGUUUCCGUAGGUGAACCUGCGGAAGGAUCAUUACAUAACUUAAGUAAGUAGUGCUGCUGGGUGGCCUGGGCUUGCCCUUGCCACACACACACUAUUCACACCAAACCCUUGUGAACCGUAAUUGACACCUUUGGCGCAGCUCAAGGUCAGUCGGCGCAACCCUAAACAGUUGUGCCGCGCUGGCUGCCGCGUCAAACGGUACCAAAACAACUUAAACCAUUUGCACACCUAUAAAGACUUAAUCUAAGAUUUUCAAUAAUUGAAAUACAACUUUUAACAAUGGAUCUCUUGGCUCUU